GGUAGCAUGGUCCAGUGGUAAGAUUUCUGCUUCGGGUGCAGGAGAUCCGGGUUCGAUUCCUGGUGCUACUA
rnacentral:tRNA from 1 species